rnacentral:rRNA from 1 species
AGCUGUCGAUUCAAAUAGUGCCGAAAUUGCAAUACACACUUGAGCACAAAAUAUUUUCGAAUGCCACAUGUGGCACCCAUUUGGGUUUGAUAUCCCGAAAGGAGUACGUUCUUGGUGUGAAAGGGGUUCAAAUUAAAAGUAAUAAUCUGUAUUUGCAUUGAUUUAGUAUUCUAUUAUUCCCA